rnacentral:lncRNA from 1 species
UAAUCUGACAGAACAUGCAUUGUUAUACAACAGCUGAUAUUGUUGCAAUAGCCUAGUACUCUUAAUGAUCUUCCGGACCAUCCAACUAGCUUGUUUGGGGAUAUUGAUAUAUUCCAGUUAUUGUUGUUUGAUAUACACUGUGUGGAUCCAUUUUACCCAUAAUAAGUCUUUCUUGUGAGCCAAGUCCCAGGCCAGUGUUGCUACAGCAGAUUUAUUCCACAGCAGAAGAUUGAUUAAGUUCAGACCUCCAGCAGACCUUG